UCCCAGUUGGUCUAGAGGUUAGGAUUUGUGACUUCCACCCACAAGGCCCGGGUUCGACUCCCGGACUGCGAA